rnacentral:lncRNA from 1 species
AUGGAAUUCCUUGGUGCUAGCUUCCAGUUUGCUAAUUCUUUGUUUAUUCCAUUUAUGGAGUUUUUUAAAAUUUCGCUUUCAGAACUUCUAGUUGAUGUGUUUAUACCUGUAUUUUCUUUGUAUAAUUUCUGCUUGCUUUGUUUGGUAAUUUUUAAAAAAUGAAAUUUUUAAUCAUUUGGUUAUUUUUUUUUUUUUUAAGAUUUUACUUAUUCAUGAGAGACAGAGAGAGAAGCAGAGACACAGGUAGAGGGAGAAGCAGGCUCCAUUGGGACUCUAUCCUGGGUCUCCAGGAUCACACCAUGGGCUAAAGGGGGUGCUAAACCCCUAAGCCACCCCGGCUGCCCAUUUUAUGUUUUUAAAGUGACAAUGGAUUUCUGUGAAAUUUGUGAUUAAUUUAGGUAAAAUUGACAUUUUGCAGUGUUGAAUUUUUUCAGUUUGGAACAUAUUACAUCUGUCCUUUUAAUUUUUAUGUUUUUUUAGAAAAAUUUUCUUGUAUUGCUUUUGUUUUCUCUACAUAUGUCCUACAAAUUCCUUAAGCUUAUUUCUAGAUAUUUUAUAUUUUUUGUUCUGUAUUUUAAUUUCCAAUGAACUAAUAUUGAAAAAUAAGGAACUUGUUGACUUUUAUGUAUUAAUUAGUAAAAGGAUAGUUUCUUAUUAAUUUUAAUUAUUUUCCUUCAUCUUCCAGGAAGGCAAUCGUUAUCAGUAAAUAAUAAUAAUUUUGCCAUUUUCUUUUCCAAAUAUCCAGGAGAUAUCCUGCUUUGUUAGCUUCUCUGAUUGUACUGGUUAGCACUUCUAGAGUGAUUUUAAAUCAUAAAGGUGACAGGAUCUAUUCUUGCCUUUUAUCUACUUGAAAAGAGAAUGUCCUUGUUGCAGUGUUUUUCAAAAUCCCUUCUGAUAUUUUUUUUUUAAGAGUUCAGUAGUCAAAUAUGUUUGUAAAUACAUGAGUAUAUUAAAUUAAAGGCUCUGAAAUAUCUGUAGUAAAUAUAUUUAUUUAAAUUUGUUUAAUAUAUGCUUACCAUUUCCUAAAAGUAUUUAAUAAUGAACCAUAAACAUCUCAUCAUUUUCCUUUUUUUCUUUAAUACAAUAACUAUAAUCUUAUCUAGUGCUUUAAGCAUGUUAUUGGGUGUUGGCUUGAAACCAUUUUUAAAAAGGUUACUUCAUACAAAUUUCUUUGAUUUCUAUUUUACUAGUAAGUGAAUAAUAAAUCUUACCAAAUUCAUUUUAGUAUUCAGAUGAUUGCUAUGCAUUUUUCCUUUGAUCAAUGUCAUAAAUCAUAUCACUAAAUAUAAAACUAUAUAUCUCUGAGUUCCUAAGAUAAACCAUUCCAUGACCAUGGAGUUAUGUAUUUUGGUAUUCUUCUGUAUUUUAUUUGCUAAUAUUUUAUUUAAUAUUUUUUGGAUCUAUCAUCAUAAAUGAUAUUGAUCUCUAGUUUUCUUUGACAUAAUUGGUAUCAGCCUUAUGCCAAUUUUAUAAAAUUAAUUAGAGUCUUUUCUACUUUCUCUGCACCACAGGCCAGUAUUGUAGCACAGCAAUUCUCUGUUCCUCAAUAUUUGAAAGAACUUGCAGAUAGAACACAUCAGGUCUGGUGCAUAUUUGGGAAGUAGUUCAUUGACAACCCUUUCAGUGUCUUUCAUGGUAUAUCCAGAUUUUCUGUUUAGUCAGUUUUUGUGGUAGAUUGAUUUUUGUGGUAGAUUGAUUGAUGGGCCUAAUUAACUACCCUCUCAUAUCCGUGUCCUUCACAGUGUGAUUUUACAGCUCCAAUAUCAAGCUGUGGAUUUAUUUUUUCUGUAUCUUGAAUCCGGGUUGACUGUGUGUCUUUCUUUG